UACGGAGGGGGCUAGCGUGGUUCGGAAUUACUGGGCGUAAAGCGCACGUAGGCGGCUUUGUAAGUUAGAGGUGAAAGCCCAGGGCUUAACCCUGGAAUUGCCUUUAAGACUGCAUCGCUAGAAUCGUGGAGAGGUGAGUGGAAUUCCGAGUGUAGAGGUGAAAUUCGUAGAUAUUCGGAAGAACACCAGUGGCGAAGGCGACUCACUGGACACGUAUUGACGCUGAGGUGCGAAAGCGUGGGGAGCAAACAGG
rnacentral:rRNA from 1 species